CUGCGCACCUAGGUCUUAUGUACCUCUAUAAUUUGUAUAGAUAGGUGACGCCCUCGAAACUGCAGCUAGUGCGCUAUCGGAUACCGAGUUGGCGAGACGAUACUCGAAUCGCACAACUUACUGACACACCAACUGAGGCGGUGCAGUUAGCUGAGCAACAAGUAGGCGUGGCGACGUCGCCGCGCCACAAGUUGGUCCUCCGAGUCUACUUAAGACCACGCGCAUCGAAAGUCUUCUACAUUAUCGAUCCUGGUUCCUCUCAGGCAGCUGGACUUUUUUCUUCGUAGCAGCCAACGGCACCAUGGGUUGAUCUAAAACUGAAGCAGUAGUAGUGUAGCUUCCACGGACUACUUAUUUCUUUAUAA
rnacentral:lncRNA from 1 species